rnacentral:rRNA from 1 species
GAUGAACGCUGGCGGCGCGCCUAACACAUGCAAGUCGAACGGCACCCACCUUCGGGUGGAAGCGAGUGGCGAACGGCUGAGUAACACGUGGAGAACCUGCCCCCUCCCCCGGGAUAGCCGCCCGAAAGGACGGGUAAUACCGGAUACCCCGGGGUGCCGCAUGGCACCCCGGCUAAAGCCCCGACGGGAGGGGAUGGCUCCGCGGCCCAUCAGGUAGACGGCGGGGUGACAGCCCACCGUGCCGACAACGGGUAGCCGGGUUGAGAGACCGACCGGCCAGACUGGGACUGAGACACGGCCCAGACUCCUACGGGAGGCAGCAGUGGGGAAUCUUGCGCAAUGGGGGGAACCCUGACGCAGCGACGCCGCGUGCGGGACGGAGGCCUUCGGGUCGUAAACCGCUUUCAGCAGGGAAGAGUCAAGACUGUACCUGCAGAAGAAGCCCCGGCUAACUACGUGCCAGCCGCCGCGGUAACAC